AGAGAGAGAGAGAGAGAGAGAGGGUUGCUAGUACUAUCACACAAAAGUUAGGUGUGCCUCAUCUAUGAUCUAAUAAUUGUCUGCCAUACCUGAAAAUAUCGAUGAGGAAUAAAGAGAGAGGGGGUUCACUGGACGGGUGGGAUCUCUUUGAUGGUACUGGGAGCGUAGAGCUUGACCGUUGGUUUAAAGGCUAGUGGCAUUCAUUAUCUGUGGCAACUGGACCCUUUACAGCUGAACACUUGUGAACACAUUUAUAUGUGUUGGAAUAAAUAGGGAAGUGCACAGAGAGAGAAGAGAGAGAGAACCUGACAAAAUAGAGAUAGAGAUUGUGUGUGUGAACAUAUU
rnacentral:lncRNA from 1 species